GUGAAGAUGAAGGUGAACUGUGCGGAACAGACUUAAGAGGAGCAGACUAGAGGAUGAGGAGACGACUGGAGGAGGAGGUGGAGAAUUACAACACUGCUAAUUGGCUAAUUGGCAGUAAGGAGGAGGAGACUGGAGAUGAGAAAUGGAAUAAAGAGGAGGAGACGACUAUGAUGAGUCGAUUAAAGAGGAGUAGAAAUGGGUCAAAGAGGAGGUGAUUGAAGAUGAGAGGUGGUUUAAAGAGGAGAUUGAAGAUGAUGAAUGUGUUAAAGAGGAGUAGAUUGAAGAGGAGAGAUGGCUUAAAGAGGACUAUGGAGAAGGAGGCAACAAUGAUGUGUCCUACAGCGAGUCCAGAGGAAGACAAGAGGUACUGAUGCAAAGGGGAGGAAGAGGAAGGGGCGGAGAGGAGGUCUGGGGAGGAUGACGGCCAGGGCCGCCGACAGCUUUGGCCGGGGCUGGAACAAAGUCGUCUGAAGGUCCCACUCAUCCAAUACACGUAAUAUACUGAGGACCCAAAUCAGGGCCUCCCACUCCCUGGGCCCAGGACAACUGAACCCUUUGGGGACAAUGACAGCAAAUGGAACAUCUGGAUGAAGCUUUGUAAUGACUUGAGGCCAUUCUUGGAAUCUUGGAGUUGGCCAGAGAAGACUAAAGAAGAGACGCAGGCUGAGGAGGAGGAGGAGGUGAAGGAUGAUGAGAGGGAGAUGAAUGAGGAGGUGAAUAUUAGGAGCUGGCUGAGGAAUGAGGAGGUGAAUAUUAGGAGCUGGCUGAGGAAAAUGAGGAUUUUGCAAAAGUGCAGAAUAUGAAGAUGAAGUGCACCAAUUUUUCUUAGUUUUUCAAGACAACUCAUAACAAAUUAAACAUGGAUUUUACUAGAAAUGAACUAGAAUGACAAGGCUGAGCGUGCAGGUGAUCUGGAGUAGGCUACAUGUGUGGAGAAGACUGUACAUGGAGAAGACUGAAGCUUAGCAGGUUAUGGACUCUUGCCAUCUACACAGGGAGAGGGUGUUGCAGAGGGGAGAAGAAAAUGUAAAGAAGACUUACCAGUGAGCAGCCUACUAGCGAAGGAGAGGAGCUGGCUAUAGUGAAAAUGAUGGCUGUGCUAAAGUGUAGAAGAUGAAGAAUGGUAUGGUUCGAAUGGAUGCGUAACGUAGUAGAGGCCUGGAGUAUAGGCUAUAAUGUGGAGAAGACUAGGGCUGAGCAGCAGGUUGAGGAGCCUUGCCAUCUACACAGGGAGAGGGUGUUGCAGAGAGGAGAAGAUGUAAAGAAGACUAACCGGUGAGCAGCCCAAGUCACACCAAGCUGACUAGCGAAGGAGAGGGGUGACUAUGAGGAGCUGGCUAUAGCGAAAAAAUGAGCGUUGUGCUAAAGUGGAGAAAAUGAAUGGCAGGACGGGAAUGGAUGUGACGUAGUAGAGGCCUGGAGUAUAGGCUAUAACGUGGAGAAGACUAGCGCUGAGCAGACGGUUGAGGAGCCUUGCCAUCUACACAGGGAGAGGGUAUUGCAGAGAGGAGAAGAAUAUGUAAAGAAGACGAACCAGUGCUCAGCUCAAGACUCCACGGCUGCUGACAACUUUGGCCAGGCUGGGGACAAAAACAAAAAAGAGGGACUCCGAUCCAAUACAGUAUAAUAAGGACCCAAGUCUGGGCCCCAUUUUUCCCCCUGGGCCUGGGGCAACUGACCCCUUUGUCAGAAUGUCCGGUGUGCGCUUUAGACAUCCG